rfam:Eucalyptus grandis cultivar BRASTZ1 unplaced genomic scaffold scaffold_8, whole genome shotgun sequence.
AUCCCAGAUUGACUUCCUUAUGUUUAUCUGAUUCAUGGGAGGCAAACAGUGAUGGGAAUGUUUCGGAGGUGGCGCCUUUCUGCAGUUUCCAAGGGGGGUGCCCUGUUAGUAACUAACCAUACAAUG